ensembl:misc_RNA Metazoa_SRP Metazoan signal recognition particle RNA
GCCGGGCGUGGUGGCGCACGCCUGUAAUCCCAGCUACUCGGGAGGCUGAGGUGGGAGAAUUGCUUGAACCCAGGAGGUGGAAGUUACGGUGAGUCGAGAUCACGCCACUGCACUCCAGCCUGGACGACAGAGCAAGACUCCAUCUCAA